CCCACACACACAGCACUAAUAUAAAACAAUGUUAUAAAAUCAAAUUGUCACAGCUGUAUCAGGAUUUGGUUGAAUCAACAUGAACGUGUAUGUGAAUAUAGAGGGGGUAGCCGAUAUGUAUUUCUUCUCCAAAAACAGUGGAUACUUAAAAAUGGAAUAACCAAAUAAAAUGUCGCAAUUUCUGGUUUAAAAUUCUCCCUUCCUGUUUGAUAUAAAACGAUCUCAGUCUAUUAGUCGUCCCACUUUAACCAUUAUAUCAUGUGUAUUUAAAGUAAGCUUGUGUUAUGAUUUAAAUUUAUAAGCCCCGUUGAGUCAACUAAAAGAAACUUGUACAAAUAACAACAUACCAGUUAUAUAAAGGCAUAUCAAGAAGCUGAAUGAUGACACGGACGGUAUACCUAUUAUGCCCAAUCUUGUUCCUACUGGUAGACCAAACAUUAGCAGAGUGUCGAGAUGACUGUGAUAAAGGAUAUUAUAUGGAAUAUUGUGAUGAGCAUACUGGAAAACCUAAAUGUGUCGAAUGCCCACCUAAUACAUAUAGCGAGAUAGCCAAUAAGGCUACUUCCUGUGAGGAUUGUCGAUCCCAGUGCCCAUGGAGUCAAGUGGAGGUUCAGGCUUGCAGUAAAAUAUCAGAUCUCAAAUGCCAGUGCCCCAAUGGUGAAUACGAGGAGCCACAAAUCGACGGAGAAGGGAUCUGUAAAAAAUGUACAGUGUGUGGAAAUGGUCAGAAAAUAGAAGUAGAAUGUACACCAAAAGCAAACAGAAAAUGCAGCGGUAAGCCAGAGUCUCCGGAAGAACCGACUGAAGAUACCAAGACCACAGAACGGACAACGCCAUAUGCGGGAACUAUUAAUAUUAAUAAUAACUGGCUUGUAGUCACCAUAGUGGCCAUUGUUGGCUUUAUUACGUACAAGUGUUUUUUCCGUCGAGUGCCUCGAAUGUAAAGUCACAAUAAUAGAUUCGUUAAUAGACUGAAAACCAACACACCCUAAAGAUAUUUAUAGACAUUAUCGAAGUUUAAAUGUAACUUUCAAAUGUGAAAAUAAGUAUGAUUUUAAAACGUAAUCACAAAAUGUUUUUUUUAAAUAUCAUUGUCAUGCUUAGCCCAAUUAUUAAAGAUGCAUUUAUGUAAGAUAUAAUAGUUCAAAAAUAGAAUUUGCUAAAUGAAUAUAUUGGAAAUUUCAGUCAAAUUACUUUAUUCUGAGCGAAGUUAACACGAUAUUAGUUAAAGGGACAUUAUAUAAGAUUAGUUUUUGCUAGAAUGGUUAAAAAAUAGAUAAUGAAAAAGGAAGAUGUUGAAAAUUCCAGUCAAAUUUAUCGUCGCUAGAAGAACAAUGUAGCCUUGAUUGUCAUCGCUACUGUUGUUAAGAUAAUAAACAAAGUCUUGAUUAUCCAGUUUUAAAUUAAAUCAUGAAAUAGCCGAAUUGUUCUAAUCUACUUAAAAUCGGAGCCAUCCGAUGGCAGCGAGAGGUGAUUAUGGUCUUGUCAUGUUAAACAUACAUUAUGCAAGAGCUAAAUCUGCCUAUUUCAGGUCUUUCUUUAGGCCUGAAAUGUUAUCUAAAUUAUUAAUUAGACAUUAAUUAACCUAUCCAGGCCAUAAUCAACUCUAGAUGGCAGUGCUAGCCUGCGAUCUUUAGUGGAUUGUAAGCCUAUUUACUGCAUAACUUUCCUUCUCGAUUAAAUGGAUAAUCGAGACCAUGCUGUUUAUCGUACUGACUUUAGUAAUGAUGACCGAGGCUUAUGGGAAUUUCAGUCGCUUACUUCUCGGUUCAUAGUGGAUCAAUUUGAAUGAAAUUUUCAUCAAAUUGCCUUUACAUUAUCUAGUUUUUAACUAUUAUAGUGAGAACUGCCAACUCGUUACCGAAUCUCCCAUAAUGUAUCUUUAAUUAAUGUCUAAUUAAUAAUUUAUAUACCAUUUAAGGCAUUAAGAAAGACCUGCAAUAGGCAGAAUUAGUUCUUGCAUAAUGUAUCUUUAUAUACCAUUUAAAGUAUUUUAAAGCCUUAAGAAAUGCCUGCAAUAGGCAGAUUUAGCUCUUGCAUAAUGCCUGUUGAAAUAAUCUCGAUUGUCAAGUACCAUUACUACGAUAUUAAACAAAGUCUCGAUUAUACAUUUUAAUGUUGUUCUAAUCUAUUCAAUAUCUGGUCCACCGGAUGCUCUAGAGAGAAUGGAAUGUGUGUAUGUAUGUCUGAAUAAAAAUUUGUAUAACAUUUGAAGCCAGAAAAAGACCUGUAAUAGGCAGAUUUAACUGUUACAUAAUGCAUCUUGAACGUAUAAUACAAACAUUUCUUAUCAUAUCUAUGGCAUUCAUCUUUAUGACUUUGGCUUAUUUUGAUAUUAAAAAUGGAAAACCAACAAAAAUACUUCCCCAUGUUUGCGUGUACAUGUAUGUCUAUAAUUAAUUUAUUUUUCAUAAGAAUAAUUAGAUUUCAUUCACAUUUCCAGGUGAUUUCAUUCUAUUUAUGAACUGAUUGAAUUUAUUUAUAAUAAAUUGUAAGAAUUUAUUUAUAAUAAAUUGUAAGAAUUUAUUUAUGAUGAUCUGGUUGAUUUUAUUUAUGAAGAUCUGAUUGAUUUUAUUUAUGAAGAUCUGAUUGAUUUUUAUACGCCCACAUUAAAAUGUGGUCGUAUAUUGUUGUCGCCCCCGUCCGUCCGUCCGUCCGUCGGUCCGGCGUCCACAAUUGCUUGUGGACGCUCUAUAGGCUAAAGUUAAUACCCGAUUGACUUUAAAUUUAUACACAGUGUUUAAGGCCAUGAGACGAAGAAACCUAUUGAUUUUCAGCGAUUUUCGAUAAUUACUGCCAGAGUUAUGACCCUUGAUCACUUCAAAACAUCUUGUGGUCGCUCUAGAGGUCAAAGUUAAUAUCCGAUUGACUUUAAAUUUAUACACAGUGUUUAAGGCCAUGAGACGAAGAAGCCUAUUGAUUUUCAGUGAUUUCCGAUAAAUACUGCCAGAGUUAUGGCCCUUGAUCACUUUGAAAAAUCUUGUGACGCUCUAGAGGCUAAAGUUAUCAUACGAUUGUCUUCAGAUUGGUACACAGAGUUUAAGGUCUUGAGACAAACAUGUAUAUUGAUUUUCAAUGAAUCUUUUUGACUUGAACAGCUAAAUCCAUGAUGUUAAAAGUUCCGUACACUAAAUGUUAACAUGGGGCAGAACUUUAUAAAAAACAAACAAAUUGUAAUGGUUUUCUGAUAAUUACUUAAUCAGUUGUUGCUCUUAAUCAGAUGUUAAUGUAUUAUAAAUGUUUCAUUACCGAAAAAAGUAAAAAUAUGCGACAACUCUUGUUGACUGCCCGAACGAUAUAGCUGCUGUGGGCGUAUGUUUCGUUGCCUGGCAAUCUAUCUUAUUUAUGUGAGUUGUAACAAUUUAUUUAUGGUGAUCUAAUUGAUAUAUUCAUGAUGAAUUGAAUAAAUAUAUUUAUGAUGAUA